GAGUGAUAGAGAGGAAGGGAUCUGAAGAAGGAAGGGUGUCGGGGAGACUGAGCAUACCGGGGGACAAGAAGGCCUCCAUCCCCUAGGGAAAUAGGACCCAUGGCCAGUCCAGCUCCUCCAGAGUCCCGUUGCUGUGCCCUGCGGGGGCCCUCCCUAGAGGGUUGCUGAAGUCCAGUGGCAAGACAAAAGUCAAGAUGGCUGGUGAUGGCUUUGGAUGCAGUGGAUGGCCUCAACCUCUCUGAUGUCUAACGAUUUAAGAAAAUUGCAUGAAUCAUUGGCAUUAUGAAAUGUAUUCUAUGGCUACAUCUUUUAAGUGCUCAUCUCACCUGCUUCCACUGGGGGUCAUUAUUGAUGUGAGAGAAUCAGGAAAAGUCUCAUGUAAGAUGUGGCACUUGAGCUGACCUGAAGGUGAAGUUAAGGACUCUAAGUAGAUGUAAGGAAUUAGUAUAUUCCAGGAAUGGUAGACAGUCUGUCAAAGGUAUGGUGGCGGGGGGACGUACAUCAUCUAUGGGGAACCUUGUAGAUCAGUAUAGCUAUAACUCAAAAGAGAAUUGUGCUUGAUAAACUAGCAAGUAAGCUUAGAACUAGGAUGUGAAUGAAAAACAUUAAAUGCUAAACAAAGGA